AGUUUUUCUGAGCAAGCUACACACAAUGUUCUUUUGAUACUAACAUGUAGAAUGUCUGAGCCAGAAUUUUGAAUGUGAAUAGAGAACUGAAGUUUCUUUUUCACAUUAAGCAGAAUGAAGGCAGUAGAAUGAACUGGACUAGUACAUUAUAUAGGCUUGCCACAGUUCAUUCUACUCUGCUCAUUUUGCUGCAGGCCAUAUGAACCAUAGAUGGAGACUUCGAGUGUCAGGCUUGUCCCGACUUGAGCAUUUAGGAAAGAAAGACCCUCGACUCCAUUUUUGAAAUGAAAGGUUUACUUUUACUAAAGUCAAGUGGUUACAGCAUAAGCAAAGCUGGAUCUGAAUAUUCCCAUGCAAAGCCUGCAUUUUUCCUUCUUCCCUGGUCCUCCCCCAUUGACCAGUUCAUCAGUGUCCAAUGAUAUUUGGUGCCUCUUUGGUGGAGUUUCGCAUUCCAUUCUCACAGCUGAUCUGUUCUGGAUUGACACCUUUGGUUCCUGUCAUCCUGUCAUUCCCCCCCUCCUAUCUCCCCAAUUUCUCUCUCUCCCCUGCAUUUUAUGGCAGGAUGCCAACAAAGCAGAGUGUGGUGAAGAUGGCAGACCUGACACUGAGAUUGAGACUUCUGCUAAAAUCAGGCAGGUUCUCUCAAAAUCCAAGGCUGAGGUAGUGGACAAAGUUGUUUCAUCAUUUUUUUUUUUUUGCAUCAGUUCAUCAACAGUUUAUGAAUUUCUUCUGAUCUCAGUUCUCUCCCAAGUGGAACUUAAUGAAGAUCCUGGCAUUUCUAAAUUCACCUGUCUCUUUUCCUUUGGGUGUCUACUACUAAAGGUUUGAGAAACAGGUUACAUAAUGUGCUGUAAUGCAGUUUGUACUUUUCAUUUUGCUAACUAACCCUGGCAUUUCUAGUGGUCAUUUGGUGCAAAUAUCUUUUUAUGAAAAAACUGGUCAUAAC